rnacentral:lncRNA from 1 species
CUCUUCUCCGUCGUGGGCGGUCGGAUAUGACAUUCAUUGCGAUAGAGACGAUAUAAAAGCCCGGCUAGCACAAAUGUUUCGUUGUUGAUCGCAGCAACAACCUCCGAUAUUGUUGUAGUCAAUCCUUAAAAUUCUACCGCUCCCCUGAAAAGCCGUGCGAGACUCGAACGGCGCCAAGCCUGGACCACGUCGGUGCUCCGACAAAAUGGGGGUGGUUCAGUUUUGAUUCCGCCAACGUCAGCGGGGAUCUACAGCGUGCACUUCAUGAACACCUGCAAGGACAACGCUCAGGCUCAUCCUGCAACAAGUUACUAGACGAGAUGCCAGCUGAGGUGUUUAAUAAAGACUAAUUGCAGGGAACCUACCAACCCUGUAAUUGCUCGUGAAAGAUUCUUAGUUAAUUGAAAUUAAUUUUCACCCCCUCGCUCGAAGAUACAGGUGACCUUUCCUCAUCUAUUUUGCAUUCUCUAUAUGUGCCCGGUUCUUAGCCUGUUAAAAGUAUUGUUAGUUGAUUGGCAACUUCUGUCUUUGAGUUACAUGUUUUGGUUUAGUCUGUACCCCAAGAUUCAGUAUAGCUUGGCUAAAGAUGGAUAAGCUUAGGUGACGACUGCUUUCUCACGAACUGGGAGACAUCUUUCGUGAGAUCUGGAAUAUGAACAGCUGAUCUGCCGUGCAAGAUCCCUGAAGUAGUCGGGGUUCUCGGCCCUACAAUUUCUUGGACAGUCCUUGCUUCUCGAGAUGUGUACAUUAUCUACAAGUAUCCUGCCGGCCAUACUUCGAGUCUGCUCCAAUGUCACCGUGUUAAGAGCAUGAGAAGAAUUUUUAUAUUGUCACAAGGUUGUGUGUUUACCUACUCGUGGUUGUGAUAAAACUCAAUAAACAUCUUUUUCACUGUCAACAAAACAUUUCUGAAAGCGUUGCAUUAUGUUGCUGUACCAUAUUUUCCAGACUAUAGUCUGCAGGGGCAAAUUUGGGGUAAAAAGAUUUUGCUUAGAUUGUGCACAUACGGUGCAUCGUCCGCACCUGGUGCUUAGUCGUCACGAAUAUCCUCUCAUAGACACAAAGAAGCUGGUAUUAUACAUAAAUGAUCAUUUACAUACUCUUUCAUUCACCAAAUCAGUCGUCUCGUCAUAAUCAACGAUAUUGAAAAACAAAAAUUUUGCAUAGUCCGCACAGCCUAAGAUUCCAACUUUUAAAAGUAUAGCCCGGAAAUUACGGUACAUUCCUGGAAACGCUCGAAAACAUGCCACGAAAGAAACUUUAUUCAGUGAAGCAGCAAUUAAACACUGGCAUGCAUGGAUUAUGUUUCUAGAAAAUAAAAGUUGUUCUACUGAUGACAA